rnacentral:lncRNA from 10 species
ACCAUGUAAAACAUGACUUUGUUCCUCCUUCACCUUCUGCCAUGAUUGCAAGGCCUUCCCAGCCAUGUGGAACUGGGGAUAUUUUUUUUUCAUAAGACCUGCCUGUGAUGUUUCUCUGCCGUGAAUCAUGUCUAUAUCCUCACAAAGGAUAAAAACCAAAGCCACUAGAGCAGAGUCUUUGGAUUUUUCUGAAUAUGGAAAGCAGCCAUGCAUUACAUUGAAGCAUAUUCCAACGUCAGGGAACAGAGCACUGCUUCCUGUCCAUGUCACCGCAAAUUCUGUGCUGAGUGUUACUGCGCCAAAGGACAUGUUAGGAUGCCACAACGGUUCUCAUCUGGUCCGUGAUACUCACAGGCUGAUGUAGUACACUAGAAAGGGAGGGCUCUUUCCAAGUUACAGAACUUAUUUUGCAAUAUUUCCUGGGAAAGAAUUCUGCUACAAGUUUUAAUCAAUGUAAGAAAUGCUGUAACUACAUUAAAGUAAACUGUACAUGAAGCAGUGUGUGUCUGUGUGGUAGGGAAGAAUUCUGUCGAAAAUAAGAUCUGUUCCAUGUAGUACCGUGAAAAUCCAAAAUGCACCAGCAGCCCCUGAACCAAGUG